GACGAACGCUGGCGGCGUUCUUAACACAUGCGAGUCGGACGGUGAAGCGAGAGCUUGCUCUUGUGGAUCAGUGGCGAACGGGUGAGUAACACGUGAGUAACCUGCCCCAGACUCUGGGAUAAGCCUUGGAAACGAGGUCUAAUACCGGAUAAGCGGCACCACCGCAUGGUGAGUGUUGGGAAAGUUUUUUCGGUCUGGGAUGGACUCGCGGCCUAUCAGCGUGUUGGUGAGGUAAUGGCUCACCAAGGCGACGACGGGUAGCCGGCCUGAGAGGGCGACCGGCCACACUGGAACUGAGAUACGGUCCAGACUCCUACGGGAGGCAGCAGUGGGGAAUAUUGCACAAUGGGCGAAAGCCUGAUGCAGCGACGCCGCGUGGGGGAUGAAGGCCUUCGGGUUGUAAACCCCUUUCAGCAGGGAAGAAGCGAAAGUGACGGUACCUGCAGAAGAAGCGCCGGCUAACUACGUGCCAGCCGCCGCAGUAAGAC
rnacentral:rRNA from 1 species